rnacentral:rRNA from 1 species
GACGAACGCUGGCGGCGUGCUUAACACAUGCAAGUCGAACGGGGUCCAACCUCACUUCGGUGAGGGGAAGACCUAGUGGCGAACGGGUGAGUAACACGUGAGAAACCUGCCCCGGAGACCGGGAUAACAGCGGGAAACCGCUGCUAAUACCGGAUGCCUCCAUCGGAUCGCAUGGUCUGAUGAAGAAAUGGAUUCCGCUCCGGGAGGGUCUCGCGGCCUAUCAGCUUGUUGGUGGGGUGAUGGCCUACCAAGGCGACGACGGGUAGCCGGCCUGAGAGGGCGACCGGCCACACUGGGACUGAGACACGGCCCAGACUCCUACGGGAGGCAGCAGUGGGGAAUAUUGCGCAAUGGGCGAAAGCCUGACGCAGCGACGCCGCGUGGGGGAUGACGGCCUUUGGGUUGUAAACCUCUUUCGCCAUCGACGAAGCCCCUUCGGGGGUGACGGUAGGUGGAGAAGAAGCACCGGCCAACUUCGUGCCAGCCGCCGCGGUAAAAC